ACACUCCUGCGGGAGGCAGCAGUGGGGAAUAUUGGACAAUGGGCGCAAGCCUGAUCCAGCCAUGCCGCGUGAGUGAUGAAGGCCCUAGGGUUGUAAAGCUCUUUCACCGGUGAAGAUAAUGACGGUAACCGGAGAAGAAGCCCCGGCUAACUUCGUGCCAGCAGCCGCGGUAAUCCGAAGGGGGCUAGCGUUGUUCGGAUUUACUGGGCGUAAAGCGCACGUAGGCGGACUAUUAAGUCAGGGGUGAAAUCCCGGGGCUCAACCCCGGAACUGCCUUUGAUACUGGUGGUCUUGAGUUCGAGAGAGGUGAGUGGAAUUCCGAGUGUAGAGGUGAAAUUCGUAGAUAUUCGGAGGAACACCAGUGGCGAAGGCGGCUCACUGGCUCGAUACUGACGCUGAGGUGCGAAAGCGUGGGGAGCAAACAGGAUUAGAAACCCCUGUAGUCCC
rnacentral:rRNA from 1 species